rnacentral:lncRNA from 1 species
UAAAAUUACCAUUUUACAUUUAAAAAUAACAAUAAUAUGUAAACAUACAAUAUAAAAAAAUAGAAAAACUACAUUAAAUAUAUGUAAGAUUACCAUUGUUCACUAAAAACGGUUUAUCUUCAUAAUGUAACAUUACCAUUUUAUAAAAAAAAAAAAGACAAAAAACAUAAAUAUAACUAUUUGACUAUUUGUCCAAGUUCUUCUAUUAAACAUUGUCAUUUUACAUUAAAAAUGGAAAAAUACGUAAAGAUUUAAACAUCUAUCUUAAAAUAUAAAAUAUAGACAUUAACUAAAUAUAAAGUAUAAGAAAGAUAAAUACUCAAUAUAUAAAAAAAUAAAUAAUAAGUAAAUAUUAUAAAUAUACGAAUUAUAUAUACAAUAAUAAGUAAAUGCACAAUUUUUAAAAAAUGGAAAGAGCAUCUAUCUUAAAAUGUAAAUUAUAGAUAUUAAGUAAAUAGAAAAUAUAAAAAAAAGAAAUACACAACUUAAAAACAAUGGAAAAAGUAUAUUAAGAUUUAAACAUCUAUAUUAAAAUGUAAAAUAUAGAUAUUAUGCAAAUAGAAAGUAUAAGAAAGGGAAAUACACAAUUUAAAAAAAUGGAAAAAGUACAUUAGUAUUUAAACAUCUAUCUUAAAAUGUAAAUCAAUAUUAAAAUAUAAAAUUAUUAGUAAAUAGAAAGUACAAGAAAUAGAAAUAAACAAUAUAAAAAAAAAAUAAGUAAAUAUAUAAUAUAAUCUCGAAAGAUGACAAGUGGCAUAAAAUAUAGUUUUACAUUUAAUAUUAUUAUUUUCGAAAAUUAUAAAAAAUAUGUAAACAUACAGCAUAAAAAAAUAGAAAAACUACAUUAAACAUAUGUAAGAUUACUAUUUUUAACUUAAAAAAAAAGACAGCUUAUCUCCAUAACGUAACAUUACCGUUUUAUAAAAAAACAAAAACAUUAUAUAUAAUUUCGAAAAUAAUAAAUAUAUGUAAAACAUACAACAUAAAAAUGGAAAUACUACAUUAAACAUAUGUAAGAUUACAAUUUUACAUUUUUAUUUUAAGAAAAUAAUAUGUAAACAUACAACAUAAAAAAUGGAAAAACUACAUUAAACAUAUGUAAGAUUACCUUUUUCACUAAAAAAACGGCUUAUCUCCAUAAUGUAACAUUACUAUUUUGUAAAAAAAAAUUAUAUAUAAUUUCGAAAAUAAUAAAUAAUAUGUAAACAUACAACAUAAAAAAUGGAAAUAUUACAUUAAACAUAUGCAAAAUUACCAUUUUACAUUUAAAAAUAACAAUAAUAUGUAAACAUACAACAUAAAAAAAUGGAAAAACUACAUUAAACAUAUGUAAGAUUACCAUUGUUCACUAAAAAACGGGUUAUCUUCGUAAUGUAACAUUACCAUUUUAUUAAAAAAAAAAGAAAAAUAAAUAAAUAUAACUAUUUGACUAUUUGUCCAAGUUCUUCUAUUAAACAUUGC